UUCUUCUUUCUUCUGUUUUCUUCUCUUCUCCUCUGUUCUUCUUCUUCUGCGAGUAUUUGAGAGAAAAUCUAGAGAAUUCGAUUGAGAGAAUCGAUCUAUGAUGAGGAUUAGAUGCAAUAGAAGUAACUAUUGUUGUUGUUGUUUGAAUUUAGGAGGAAGUUGGAUUGGAGAGAAUUAUUAGUUAGGGUUCUGUGAGUUGAAGAUAAACUGAUUUAAUUAAAUAAGAAGAGAUUAAGGUAUGGGUUUCAAAGAUUCUGAUGUGAAGUGGAAGGUAAUGGGUUUGAUUUCGAAGAACAACAGUUAUUCGACAGAUUUAGGAAUUAGGGUUUGUAAUAAUUUCUGGAGAAGAUUCGGAAGAUGAACUUGAAGGAUUAGAAGAUUAAUUGGGGGUGGGUUUGAUGCGAAUUAAGAUAUAAGGUUGUAGUGUAACAUGAAAUCAAUAGUUGGGGUUUGAAGUUGUGAAUCAGAAGUUUGAUGAGGAAAGAGUCUAAUUUUGUUAUUAAGAAAGAGUAAACCAGAUUCAAGAACAAUUGAUGGUGGUGGUGUUGAUUCAGGUUUUGGAUUCAACUCAGAAGAAAAGGUAAAUUGAAUUUAAGGUUUCUCUAAUUUGAAUUUAUUUGUAUAAGAUUGAGUAUGAACUGAUGGAUUUUAGAUGCAUGGGUUUUGUUUAAAUUCAAACUGAAUUGAGCCUGCUGGAGUUUUACUUUUGGUUUAACUGUGGAAUUGAGAUGUUAGAGUUUCAAGUGAACUACACAGGAUGUUGAUUAUUGAAGUUGAAUUUUGGUUAGUGGUGUUGAACUGAGAUGGGUGAAAGAAGGUCAUUUCUUAGCUGUAGUUGUGAGGAUUUGGUGGUGCAAAUGGAAUCGAGUAUGAUCUCAACUGAACUGUUGCAGGUGGUGGUUUAAUGAGACACAGAUUUAGUAGAUGAAUUAGAUGUGUGAAUCUGUGAAUUGCAGAUGGUGGUGGUUUGUGUUUUGAAUUACAAAAGUGGAUGGCUAGGGUCGUAUCCGAUCUUAGUUGAGGUUAUUGAUUGAUGCAGUGAGUGAUAUAAAUGAAGCUUAGGUGUAUGGAGUAUGAGUUAUAUGUAACUGGAAAUGUCACUAGUGAUGAUUUGAUGUAAUGAACUGAGUUGCUACUGGUGUUACUUUUGUUGUGGUGAUUGCAUGAAUGUGCAGUAGUGGAACUAGUGUUGGUGUUUAGACUAUUGCAGUUGGUAUUGUUGCAGUAAUGGUGAAGGAUGUAGGUGGUUUUAGUGUUGAAUUAGUUUGAUUCGGUGGUGAUGAUGAGGUUGCAGUUUAUGGAGUUGGGUUGUCUGAAAUGGUUUAGCAAAAAGGGCAGUAGAAUGGAAUUGAAGUCUGUGUAUGAAUCUAAUACGGGUACAAAUUGCAGGGUAUGGAUCAAUGGUAUGUUGUUUGUGAAUGGUGUACAUGUUGGUAUUGCUGAUGGUAUAGGUUGCAGUUCAUGGAGUUGGGUUGUCUGAAAAGGUUUAGCAAAAAGGGCAGUAGAAUGGAAUUGAAGUCUGUGUAUGAAUCUAAUACGGGUACAGAUUGCAGGGUAUGGAUCAAUGGUAUGUUGUUUGUGAAUGGUGUACAUGUUGGUAUUGCUGAUGGUAUAGGUUGCAGUUCAUGAUCUUGGUGUUGAUGCUGUUGUACUGGUGGUAAUGAAGAUGGAUGUUGUUGAGAAGUUCAGAGUUGGAGAUGGUAAUGGAAUUGAAAUAGUAAUAGUAAUAUGAGUGAGUUUCAGGGUGGAGGUCUUAGUGGUUUGAAUUAGUGAUCAUGUAUAGCAGAGGGUUGUGUUGAGAUGCGAGUGCAGGUAGCAUAUGAUUUGUAGAAAGGUGUUGUUUAGAGCUGCAAUUGCAGGUAAAGCUUGAAUUUCAGUUGUAUUGAAUCAUAGAAUUGUGUAAAAUGAAAGUUUGUAUUUUGAUCUAAUGAAUAGAAUCAGAUUGUUAGUGAAA